GACGAACGCUGGCGGCGUGCCUAAUACAUGCAAGUAGAACGCUGAAGGAGGAGCUUGCUUCUCUGGAUGAGUUGCGAACGGGUGAGUAACGCGUAGGUAACCUGCCUGGUAGCGGGGGAUAACUAUUGGAAACGAUAGCUAAUACCGCAUAAUAGUAGAUGUUGCAUGACAUUUGCUUAAAAGGUGCAAUUGCAUCACUACCAGAUGGACCUGCGUUGUAUUAGCUAGUUGGUGGGGUAACGGCUCACCAAGGCGACGAUACAUAGCCGACCUGAGAGGGUGAUCGGCCACACUGGGACUGAGACACGGCCCAGACUCCUACGGGAGGCAGCAGUAGGGAAUCUUCGGCAAUGGACGGAAGUCUGACCGAGCAACGCCGCGUGAGUGAAGAAGGUUUUCGGAUCGUAAAGCUCUGUUGUAAGAGAAGAAACGAGUGUGAGAGUGGAAAGUUCAACACUGUGAA
rnacentral:rRNA from 1 species